GAUGAACGCUGGCGGCGUGCCUAAUACAUGCAAGUCGAGCGAACAGACGAGGAGCUUGCUCCUCUGACGUUAGCGGCGGACGGGUGAGUAACACGUGGAUAACCUACCUAUAAGACUGGGAUAACUUCGGGAAACCGGAGCUAAUACCGGAUAAUAUAUUGAACCGCAUGGUUCAAUAGUGAAAGACGGUUUUGCUGUCACUUAUAGAUGGAUCCGCGCCGCAUUAGCUAGUUGGUAAGGUAACGGCUUACCAAGGCAACGAUGCGUAGCCGACCUGAGAGGGGGGUGGGCCGCGCGGGAGGUGAGGCGGGGGGCAGAGUGGUACGGGAGGCGGGGGUAGGGAAUCGUCGGCGAGGGGCGAGAGCGUGACGGAGCAACGCCGCGUGAGUGAUGAAGGGCUUCGGAUCGUAAAACUCUGUUAUGAGGGAAGAACAAAUGUGUAAGUAACUAUGCGCGUCUUGACGGUACCUAAUCAGAAAGCCACGGCUAACUACGUG
rnacentral:rRNA from 1 species